ACGCCAAGGAUGGAACUGGUGGUGGCUGAC
rnacentral:piRNA from 1 species